UGAAUUUGAGUGAACAAAAUUCAUUGCUGCGUGCAAAAAAUUUAUUUCAGUGUUUGCGCUUAUCCAUAUACACACACACAAUAGCACCCCCUCUCGCUCAGUUUUUUCAUUUGCGCUUGCUCGCAUUGUGUUGCUUGCGCUCACAACAUUCUCUGCUGCCUGCGCUCAACUCUCUGUACACCGUUAUAAGUGUGCCACAAAACCAACCCAUCACAGACUUGGUUUCAAAAAUUCUGAUUGGCUCUUACGGUCUCCAAUCAGCUCGCUAGCUGCUGCCUUCCGGACACCGGAAACACUGUCCACUCAGCCUCGCUUCUUGCAGAUAGAGGGAUUUUUGAUUUACUCUGCAGCCAAAGAAGAGAUGGCAGAAUCAAAAAAUGGCUCCAAUAAUACUACACCACAGUAUCAGGGUAAUGGUGCAGUUGAGUCAGCAGUAAGAAAUCUGGUGUCUUUGCUGCUUAACAACAUAUCCACAAAUCCUUCAGGGAGGCCAACAGAGAGUGGGCAGCCGGAGCCUAGAACUCUGACUAUCCAGCAAGAGAUGACAAGAUCAUUUCCAGGAUAUUUCAAAUCAAACUUGAGCCGUGGUAAAAAGAGAUGUUUAACAUCUACUAAGCAGCUUGUUAAGGCAGGCAGUAAGACCACAGGCCUCAGUUUUUAUUUGCUGUCAAAAA